rnacentral:rRNA from 1 species
AACGAACGCUGGCGGCAUGCCUAACACAUGCCAGUCGAACGAGACCUUCGGGUCUAUUGGCGCACGGGUGAGUAACGCGUGGGAACCUGCCCUUAGGUUCGGAAUAACUCCCCGAAAGGGGUGCUAAUACCGGAUAAUGUCUUCGGACCAAAGAUUUAUCGCCUUUGGAUGGGCCCGCGUUGGAUUAGCUCGUUGGUAGGGUAAAAGCCUACCAAGGCGACGAUCCAUAGCUGGUCUGAGAGGAUGAUCAGCCACACUGGGACUGAGACACGGCCCAGACUCCUACGGGAGGCAGCAGUGGGGAAUAUUGGACAAUGGGCGAAAGCCUGAUCCAGCAAUGCCGCGUGAGUGAUGAAGGCCUUAGGGUUGUAAAGCUCUUUUACCCGGGAUGAUAAUGACAGUACCGGGAGAAUAAGCUCCGGCUAACUCCGUG